rnacentral:lncRNA from 1 species
AAAAGUGUACAACCUGUGCAGAGUUAAAACCUAUCCGGGUAGCCGUGUCCACGGUAUUGGACGAGUUACGGCUUGGUCACAUAACUAGCUUUUGGGGAUGAUUGAUUUCUUCGGUGUGUGUUGGAUUUUGGAAGUGUCCGACAGUUGUGGCGUGUGCUACGGUGGACGGGGAGUCCGGUAGUGAUAAAACUUGGAUCCUUUGUGUAGGAUCAACCACACUUAAUGUUUCGGUUAUUAAAUAAAAUACUUGUGAAGACUCUUUGAAAAUGAACCCUUGCAUGAGUUGAAAAUCCAGCUUUAUUGCAAAUGAACCUUAACCUUAUCCUUGUUGUAUCCUAUGCAUAUUCUUAUUGUAUCCCCCUCCGUGGAUGGGGUUGGACUUGUUGAGUACUUUUGUACUCACCCCUGUUUUGUUGCUUCAGAGGAGGAUCCGGACUACAUCA